rnacentral:lncRNA from 1 species
AAAAAACUUUUAUAACAGUGGAGCCGGAGCCAAAGCCUCAGUUUUAAAACAAUGACUCCGGAGCUGGAGCUGGAGCCACAGCUGAAAUAUACUGUGGCUCUGGAGCCAGAGCCGGAGCCUAACCUAUUUCAAGCCAGCUCCCCAGCCCUGAGUUUCACAGUGCAUACUGUGAAACUUUGCUACAGUAUGGAGGACAACACAUCCCACUCCCAUGCUAUGCUACCUAGACGUGUGCACAUCUCGUUAACAUUUGAUCUUUGACCUCUCGUCCAUUAGGGAUACUUUGCAUGUCUCGGGCCCCCUAUCGAUCGAUACCGUUUUUUCCGGGCUUUGC